rnacentral:rRNA from 1 species
GUGUCUUCGCUUCGGCAAGGCCCUUGCUUAAAUCACAUCCUAACACCUGUGAACUGUAAGACGUAUGAUGAGGUCUUUGGCCAAGUCAUCGUCUGCCCAUUUUUAACAAACAAUUAAUGUAACAAACGUAGUCUUAUUAUAACCUAAUAAAACUUUCAACAACGGAUCUCUUGGCUCUCGCAUCGAUGAAGAACGCAGCGAAAUGCGAUAAGUAAUGUGAAUUGCAGAAUUCAGUGAAUCAUCGAAUCUUUGAACGCACCUUGCGCUCUUUGGUAUUCCGAAGAGCAUGCCUGUUUGAGUGUCAUGAAAAUAUCAACCUUGACUUGGGUUUUGUGCUCUAGUCUUGGCUUGGAAUUGGGUGCUUGCCGCUUUUACGAGCGGCUCACCUUAAAUGUAUUAGCUGGAUCUGUCUUUGAGACUUGGUUUGACUUGGCGUAAUAAGUAUUUCGCUAAGGACAUUCUUCGGAGUGGCCUCGUUUCUAGGACGCUUGUCCGCUUCCCAAUACAAGUUCCACCUCGUGGACAUGACUUUUUUAUUAUCUGGCCUCAAAUCAGGUAGGACUACCCGC